rnacentral:rRNA from 1 species
UGCUCGAGUGGCGAACGGGUGAGUAACACGUGGGUAACCUGUCCCCUUCUCUGGGAUAACCGUUGGAAACGGCGGCUAAUACCGGAUAUGACUCCAGGUCGCAUGAUUUGGGGUGGAAAGCUUUUGUGGUGGGGGUGGGGCUUGCGGCCUAUCAGCUGGUUGGUGGGGUGAUGGCCUACCAAGGCGGUGACGGGUAGCCGGCCUGAGAGGGCGGUCGGUCACAUUGGGACUGAGAUACAGCCCAGACUCCUACGGGAGGCAGCAGUGGGGAAUUUUGCGCAAUGGGGGGAACCCUGACGCAGCGACGCCGCGUGGAGGAUGACGGCUUUCGGGUUGUAAACUCCUUUUAUCCACAGCGAAGAUGUCGUUUUUGCGGCAUUGACGGUAGUGGUUGAAUAAGCGCCGGCUAACUACGUGCCAGCAGCCGCAGUAAGACGUAGGGCGCGAGCGUUGUCCGGAUUUAUUGGGCGUAAAGGGCUCGUAGGCGGCUCGUCGCGUCUGCCGUGAAAAGCUCCGGCUUAACCGGGGUCGUGCGGUGGAUACGGGCGGGCUGGAGGUAGCUAGGGGAGACUGGAAUUCUACGUGUAGCGGUGAAAUGCGCAGAUAUGUGGAGGAACACCGGUG